GCCGGUCCUCGGUAGUGGUACCCGGAAAGCCCCCGGGCACCGAACCGGGUACUUCGAUCGAAGACCGGC
rfam:Actinobacteria bacterium OV450 ctg116, whole genome shotgun sequence.